rnacentral:lncRNA from 1 species
AUGGAUCUAUGGGGCUGGGACCCCCAAGUGUGGGGUGAGACCCCCAAGUGUGGGGCUGGGAACUCAAAAUGUGGGGCUGGGACCCCAAAGUGUGGGGCUGGGAACUCAAAAUGUGGGGUGAGACCCCAAAAUGGGGCUGGGACCUCAAAGUGUGGGGCAGGACCCCAAAAUGUGGGGCUGGGAACUCAAAAUGUGGGGCUGGUAUGGAUCUAUGGGGCUGGGACCCCAAAAUGGGGGGCUGGGACCCCCAAGUGUGGGGCUGGAACCCCCAAAUGUGGGGUGGGACCCCCAAGUGUGGGGCUGGGAACUCAAAAUGUGGGGCAGGAAUCUCAAAUGUGGGGCUGGGACCCCAAAUGUGGGGCUGGGAACUCAAAAUGUGGGGCAGGAACCCCAAAUGUGGGGCUGGGAACACAAAAAUGUGGGGCUGGGAUACAAAAAUGGGGGGCUGGGACCCCAAAAAUGGAGCUGGGAUCACAAAAUGUGGGGCUGGUAUGGAUCUAUGAGGCUGGGACCCCAAAAUGGGAGGUGAGACCCCCAAGUGUGGGGCUGGUAUGGAUCUAUGGGGCUGGGACCCCAAAAUGUGGGGCUGGGAAUUCAAAAUGUGGGCAGGAACACAAAAUUUGGGGUGAGACUCAAAAAUGUGGGGCAGGAAUCUCAAAUGUGGCGCUGGGAACCCAAAGUGUGGGGUGGGACCUCCAAAUGUGGGGCUGGUAUGGAUCUAUGGGGCUGGGAAACCAAAAUGUGGGGCAGGACCCCAAAUGUGGGGUGAGACCCCAAAGUGUGGGGCUGGGAUGAUCUAUAGGGUGGAUCUGUGGGGCAGGGAUAGAUCUGUGGGGCAGAACCUAUGGGGUAAAUCUAUGGGGCAGAGAUGAUCUCUGGGGUAAAUCUAUGGGGCAGGGAUUCAGGAUCUAUGGGGCAGGGAUUCAGGAUCUAUGGGGCAGCACUGACCAUUCCAUAGGAUGUUUUAACGUGGGCGGUUCUCUCUGUGCAAUGUGAUAGAGGGCGCUGUGGGGCAG